AUUGAACGCUGGCGGCAUGCUUUACACAUGUAAGUCGAACGGUAACAGGCCGCAAGGUGCUGACGAGUGGCGCACGGGUGAGUAAUGCAUCGGAACGUGCCCAGUCGUGGGGGAUAACUACUCGAAAGAGUAGCUAAUACCGCAUACGAUCUAUGGAUGAAAGCGGGGGACCGUAAGGCCUCGCGCGAUUGGAGCGGCCGAUGUCAGAUUAGGUAGUUGGUGGGGUAAAGGCUCACCAAGCCAACGAUCUGUAGCUGGUCUGAGAGGACGACCAGCCACACUGGGACUGAGACACGGCCCAGACUCCUACGGGAGGCAGCAGUGGGGAAUUUUGGACAAUGGGCGCAAGCCUGAUCCAGCAAUGCCGCGUGCAGGAAGAAGGCCUUCGGGUUGUAAACUGCUUUUGUACGGAACGAAACGGCUCUGGUUAAUACCCGGGGCUAAUGACGGUACCGUAAGAAUAAGCACCGGCUAACUACGUG
rnacentral:rRNA from 1 species